GACGAACGCUGGCGGCGUGCCUAAUACAUGCAAGUAGAACGCACAGUUUAUACCGUAGCUUGCUACACCAUAGACUGUGAGUUGCGAACGGGUGAGUAACGCGUAGGUAACCUGCCUGGUAGCGGGGGAUAACUAUUGGAAACGAUAGCUAAUACCGCAUAAUAUUAAUUAUUGCAUGAUAAUUAAUUGAAAGGUGCAAUUGCACCACUACCAGAUGGACCUGCGUUGUAUUAGCUAGUAGGUGAGGUAACGGCUCACCUAGGCGAAGAUACAUAGCCGACCUGGGAGGGUGAUCGGGCACACUGGGACUGAGACACGGCCCAGACUCCUACGGGAGGCAGCAGUAGGGAAUCUUCGGCAAUGGACGAAAGUCUGGCCGAGCAAAGCCGCGUGGGUGAAGAAGGGUUUCGGAUCGUAAAGAUCUGUUGUAAGAGAAGAACGGGAGUGGGAGUGGAAAGUUCACACUGUGACGGUAUCUUACCAGAAAGGGACGGCUAACUACGUG
rnacentral:rRNA from 1 species